AAUGGUAAUGGAGCACAGAGGAACGAAGAAGAUUACAGUUGUCAAACUAAAGUAUAUGGACAUAGCUGGGAAGAAAAUUCAAGAAGAAUGUAGGAAAUCUGGAAAAGUGAGAAAGGAUGAGAUUGUGAGUGAUGUUAUGUGCUGGUUAAAAGUACCUGUAGUACUUGAAUACGAUCAGCAUCCAGCUUUGUCAACAACUUAGAAGCAGAAUCCAGAACUUUUCCAAUAAAUUAAGGAUCCUGAGAUGAAGAGAUGAUCCUGGAUUAUCCAGGUGCACCCAAUGUAAUCCCAAGUGUCCAGAUAAGAAAGAAGCAGAAAAGUCAGAGUCAGAGAAGGAGAUGUGACCAUGGAAGCGGGGUCCUACUUAUGUGACUGAAGAUUGAGAAAGGGCCGGGAGCCAAGGAAUACAGAUCUGGACUAUCUACACUGGGGAUAUGACUGCGGUAGCAAUAUGAAAGAUACAUGCCACAGAGGAAGAAUACCAGCAUCAAAGAUGAAGAAGUACCUGCUCUCCUAUGGCUUUCAUUCUGAUGUGGCAGAUGGAGAAUAAGCAAGCAGAUAAAUAACAUACAGGAAAUGAGGGUGUGCAUACUGUGAACACGUGAGAGCAAAGCAGUUCAAACAGAUGGGCCAGCCAUUGCAAAGUCCUCGAGUAUGUGUGUUUUAAGGACAGCUGGGAAGCCAGGGUGUCUGAGCACAGAGAGCAAGCGAGAGGUGGUAAGAACAAAGUGAUAUGCUACAGAAAAUUCUCCAUACCCUUGAAGGGAGCAACUGCCAUGCUCAUUUUGGUAUGUCCCCUGUGACUCACUCACUGACUAAAUGCCUGAGCCAAAGUCACUUCCUAUGAUAACAGUAGGUUAUUGGCAAAUCUCCACAGAAAUAUCAUCACGGUGAGGCUGAUACUAAAUUAGGACAAAGCUAUUUGGCUUGAUCGAAGCUGAAGCUAUUUUUCUGUCAUAUAAUAGAUCUUAUAUCAGUACCCUUCAAGAAAUUGCCCCGAAAACAUCAACUAUAUUAUUAUUUCAGAAACUUGGUCAGAUAAUGGGAACUAUUUAAAAAUAAAAAGUGAAGUGCAUUCUUUUGUUUGGAUAUAAAGUAAAUCCCAUGUUAUUUUCUAAAACAAAAAAUUGAUUGAUUAUGAAAAAUGCCUUCUUGCAUUGGACAUAGUCCAUAAAUACGCAUAAUUGGAGAGCUCUAAAAUCCUAAAAUCUAAAAUCUAAGUGGUGAUUUCAGAUGCGGUGAUCGGUCAGGAUUAAAGGAACACAAGAGUUCCUGAGACCUAUGACAUCUUCUGAAACCUGCAUCUUUCUCCACAUCAUAACUUGAAUAAUUUUAAAGGAAAUAUACUAAUUACUGAAAGAUUCUGUCGCUUAAAGGAGAAUCAGUCUUGACUUUCCCAUGUAAUUCAUACAAAAUUUUUUCUUGUUUAGUUCAUUCUUUUUGAUCUAUAGCAAAAAAAGUUGAUUUGUUUCUCCCUAAGCAAAUAUUAGAAUGAAACAAUAGGAGGUCAUCUAGACCAGAGCAAAUGGGCUUAACUACUGACUUAAUAUAGUCAACUAUAUCUGAAGUUCGUUGAAAACAAUCACCUUUAUUAUUUUUUUCCCAAAUGCUUUAGUAAUUUGCCAAAAAUCAUAUAAAAAGUAAAUAAUGAAAUUAGAUGUAGAAUGCAGAUCUUGUGAACCCAAAUCUAGACCACUGAAUCAAUAAAUUUUGCAAAACAUUGGUACAAACACUUUGUAAAAACAUUUAUGUUACAAAUUUUUAGAAUGAGUGUUAUUUAACCCUUAUAUGCAAAGAAUACAAUUAAUUAGAAAAAUUAGAUUUUGAAACAUAGAAGUUGAUAUUACCUGACUAAAUCUCAGCUGCCCUCAUAUUGGAAUGAGCUUUGUCAUAUAGACAUAAAUGGAUUAAUAUGUGUUAUAACAUCCGGAAGAAAUGCAGAUCAACAGUAAGAUUGUCUUUUCCUCCCUGCCUUUUCUUGUUCUCUCUUCCUUGAUCUUUCUUUUGUUUUCGUGCCCCUCUUUCUUCCUUUUCAUCCUGUUGUCAUCCCUUUUUUAAUUUUCCUUGCUUCCCUUUUCGUAAAUUAUUAUAUUUAAUUUAUAAAAUUUAAUGUAUAUUUUAAGCCUAGGGAAAAGCAUUUAAUCAUUGAAACAUGAGCUUUGAGCACUUUUCAAAGCUGGCAAAUUCUAUAAAAAUGGGAGUUCGGUUUUUAAUACUCUUGUUGUUACUAUUUUAUAUUUACAUUUUGAAACAUUUAUUCUUUACUUAUUAUCUAAUUUAAUCCAUCAACCAGCAUUUGUUGGGUAGCUAGUAAACACCAAGAAGAUCCUAAAUAUGGUCAGUUACUGUGAAUGAACUUUGAGUACUUUAAUGCAAACAUCAAGGCGUCUUAAUUGAUUCCUAAUCUACAUGCAAACAAUUUCAUUGUUACUAAGUUUAGACAUGUUGCGUAAGUUUUAAAUCUUUUUGAAUUUGGACAAGUCUUUUCAAGUUGAUGAUAUAAAUAAAAUUCACUAAAUCAUCAUGUUAAUUGUAUACUAAAUGCAUGAUGAUCAUUCUGUCAUUUUUCCAUGUUAACAAAAAAACUACAUUGAAGUUUUCAUUAUUUAAACAUUAAUACUUCUUGAAUUUGAAAUUAAGUGUAUUUAAUUCAUCACUAGAUGGCACUCUAAAUUUAGACUGUAAUAUAUGUUUCUUCAAAUAGAAGCUAAAUAUGUUUUAUAAGGAAGAAUUCAUUUUAUAAACAAAAUAUUUGCCCCCCUGUUCAAACACAAACUGGAGAAUUCCCUUUCUAUCUGUCAACAGUAACAAAGAAAACCUACAACAUGUAAUAAAAAGUAGAAAAGCAACUACCAAUACAAUAGAGUAUACAGACUGGAUUAUAAAGAGAAUAUGGUGGUUAUCUGAAAAUAUUUCUCAUAUAUGUUUGAAUCUAUUUUUAAUUUAUAAUUUUGAGACUUAAUUUUUCCAUAUACAAUAAUCCAGGAAGUGUUAAAGUGUUUUUGUUGAUUUACCCACCGUUUUAAAAACUGACUUGCUUCUUAAAAGUUAGUCAGCUUUCAGUAUCCACAGGAUCCAUUUGCAGGCUCAACCUACUGCAGAUCAAAAAUAUUAGCAAAAUUUUUUUAAAAAAAACUACAACUAAAAUAUACAAAUAAAAAUAUAGUAUAACAACUUACAAAGCAUUUACAUUGUAUUAGAUAUUAUAAGUAACCUAGAAAUGAUUUAAAGAUGUCCAUAGAUUAUGUGCAAACACUAUUCUAUUUUAUGUAAGGGACUUGAGCAUGCUCAGAUUUGGUCCUAGAACCAAUCCCUGGCAGAUAUAGAAGGAUAACUGUAUUUUUAUUUGUAACAAAUAUAUAAGUAUGAUGGAUACAAUAAAAAUGAAUGUACUUCUGCUAAAACUUGCCUUUUGUGUCAGAUAUAAUUGUAUGUAGACUGCCUCAAAUACAAGAUAAUAACUUGUGUAAUUCCUUUUCUCCUAAAUGUUAGAAGCUGUACAAAUUUUUCAUUUUUCUAGAGAAGAUUUUUUAGCUUCCUAAGAAGACUAAGCACUUUCUUGUGUUACUUUCAUUUGUAAGUGAUGACAUCCCCCAUAAAAUCAUAGGAAUGAACCUUUGGAAACAUAAUUCUGACCAUUUGAAAAGUAUCAGGCCAAUGAUACUAUGACCCCAGUAUAAUUGAAACCAUCAACUGUUCUCUGUUCAGGGACCACAGCCUGGGUGGUUAGCAUAAGGGCUGCUGAGGUGGCUCGGCCUCAUAUUCAGACUGUCAAUUAGACUGCAUUAAGGAACACUUCUAGCAGGGUUAAUGCCACUGCAAGUGUAAAGCAGGCAUUUAAAAAUAGCCGACAUUUUAAAAUAUUCUGUAUUAGAAGUCCAAAUUUUCCAUGGAUGAAAGUCAAUAUAUUUUGCCCUUAUUCUAUGCUAAGGUCGUGACUCCAAUUAUUAUGUAAAAAUGGGUUUCUCUGAAUAUUUUUGACUUUGCUGAUGACUACAUUUUUUUUUCUUAUCCUGACUGCACAGUAAAGAUUGACUCUCUAAUUCUCUGGGUCAGAUAUGUGUGGAAAUGACUAUUAUAUUCUUGUUUUCCACAUCAGAGAAUGAGAUCUUUGAAUAAAAUUUCUCCUGGACAAAUG